rnacentral:rRNA from 2 species
GGUCAAGCUACAAAGAGCCUACGGUGGAUACCUAGGCACACAGAGGCGAUGAAGGACGUGGAUACCGACGAUACGCUUCGGGGAGCUGGAAACAAGCUUUGAUCCGGAGGUCUCCGAAUGGGGCAACCCAGUAACUCUAACGCCAAUCCAUAACGUUAGAGGGCGAACCUGGCGAACUGAAACAUCUUAGUAGCCAGAGGAAAAGAAAGAAAACUCGAUUCCCUUAGUAGCGGCGAGCGAAAGGGGAACAGCCUAAACCAACGGGCUUGCCCGUUGGGGUCGUGGGACAGCAACAUGGAAUUGGGCGGCUAGACGAAGUAGUGGAAUGCUACACCAGAGAAGGUGAAAGUCCUGUAGUCGAAAGCUUAACAAUCCUAGCUGUAUCCCGAGUAGUCCGGAGCACGUGGAAUUCCGGAUGAAUCUGCGAGGACCACCUCGUAAGGCUAAAUACUCCUGUGUGACCGAUAGCGCAUAGUACCGCGAGGGAAAGGUGAAAAGAACCCCGGAAGGGGAGUGAAAUAGAGCAUGAAACCGUAGGCUUACAAGCAGUCGAAGCUCGAUUUAACGAGUGACGGCGUGCCUGUUGAAGAAUGAGCCGGCGACUUAUAGGUACUGGCAGGUUAAGGCAAAAAUGCCGAAGCCAUAGCGAAAGCGAGUCUGAAUAGGGCGUUUGUCAGUACUUAUAGACCCGAACCCGGGUGAUCUAACCAUGGCCAGAAUGAAGCUUGGGUAACACCAAGUGGAGGUUCGCACCGACCGAUGUUGAAAAAUCGGCGGAUGAGCUGUGGUUAGGGGUGAAAUGCCAAUCGAACCCGGAGCUAGCUGGUUCUCCCCGAAAUAUGUUGAGGCAUAGCGGUUGUGAUUAUAGCAGGGGGGUAAAGCACUGAUUCGGUGCGGGCUGCGAGAGCGGUACCAAAUCGAGUCAAACUCUGAAUACCCUGUGUACACACAGCCAGUCAGACGGUGGGGGAUAAGCUUCAUCGUCGAGAGGGAAACAGCCCAGACCACCAGCUAAGGUCCCCAAAUCAUCACUAAGUGGCAAAGGAGGUGGGGAUGCUCAGACAACCAGGAGGUUUGCCUAGAAGCAGCCAUCCUUAAAAGAGUGCGUAAUAGCUCACUGGUCAAGCGUUCCUGCGCCGAAAAUGAACGGGACUAAGUGAUGUACCGAAGCUGUGGACUUACUACGUAAGUGGUAGGGGAGCGUUCUGCACUAGUUUGAAGCACUAGCGUAAGCAGGUGUGGACGAAGCAGAAGUGAGAAUGCCGGCUUGAGUAGCGAAAACAUUGGUGAGAAUCCAAUGCCCCGAAACCCCAAGGGUUCCUUCGGAAGGCUCGUCCGCGAAGGGUUAGUCGGGACCUAAGGCGAGGCCGAAAGGCGUAGUCGAUGGACAACUGGUCAAUAUUCCAGUACUCAUCUUGGUUUGUGCAGAGGGACGAAGAAGGCUAGAUCAGCCGGAUGUUGGUUACCGGUUCAACUGUCCGAGGUGUUGAGGAGCGGUGAAAACGCUCUGAGCUGAGGCAGGAGUACGACCCACUACGGUGGGGAAGUGAUUGAUGUCAUGCUUCCAAGAAAAGCUCUAAGCACGUUAAGCCAAGAUACCCGUACCCGAAACCGACACAGGUGGGGGGGUAGAGUAUACCAAGGGGCGCGAGAUAACUCUCUCUAAGGAACUCGGCAAAAUGGCCCCGUAACUUCGGGAGAAGGGGUGCCACCGAGAGGUGGUCGCAGUGAAGAGGCCCAGGCGACUGUUUACCAAAAACACAGGUCUCCGCUAAGUCGUAAGACGAUGUAUGGGGGCUGACGCCUGCCCAGUGCCGGAAGGUUAAGGAAGCCGGUCAGCGCAAGCGAAGCUGGCGACCGAAGCCCCGGUGAACGGCGGCCGUAACUAUAACGGUCCUAAGGUAGCGAAAUUCCUUGUCGGGUAAGUUCCGACCCGCACGAAAGGCGUAACGAUCUGGGCGCUGUCUCGGAGAGAGGCUCGGCGAAAUAGAAGUGUCUGUGAAGAUGCGGACUACCUGCACCCGGACAGAAAGACCCUAUGAAGCUUUACUGUAGCCUGGAAUUGGGUUCGGGCUUUGCUUGCGCAGGAUAGGUGGGAGACGUUGAAGUAUCCCUUGCGGGGGAUAUGGAGUCGCCAGUGAGAUACCACUCUGGCAAGGCUAGAAUUCUAACCUUCUGCUGUUAGCCAGCGAAGGAACAGUUUCAGGUGGGCAGUUUGACUGGGGCGGUCGCCUCCUAAAUGGUAACGGAGGCGCGCAAAGGUUCCCUCAGGCUGGUCGGAAAUCAGCCGUAGAGUGCAAAGGCAUAAGGGAGCUUGACUGCAAGACCUACAAGUCGAGCAGAGACGAAAGUCGGCCUUAGUGAUCCGACGGUUCCGCGUGGAAGGGCCGUCGCUCAACGGAUAAAAGUUACUCUAGGGAUAACAGGCUGAUCUCCCCCAAGAGUUCACAUCGACGGGGAGGUUUGGCACCUCGAUGUCGGCUCAUCGCAACCUGGGGCGGUAGUACGUCCCAAGGGUUGGGCUGUUCGCCCAUUAAAGCGGUACGUGAGCUGGGUUCAGAACGUCGUGAGACAGUUCGGUCCAUAUCCGGUGCAGGCGUAGGAGCAUUGAGAGGAGUCCUCCUUAGUACGAGAGGACCGGGAGGAACGCACCUCUGGUGUACCUGUUAUCGUGCCAACGGUAAACGCAGGGUAGCCAUGUGCGGAGUGGAUAACCGCUGAAAGCAUCUAAGUGGGAAGCCCACCUCAAGAUGAGUGCUCCCAUGGCAUAAGCCAGUAAGGUCACGGGUAGAACACCCGUUAAUAGGCUCCCGAUGGAAGUCCAGUAAUGGAUGAAGUCUAGGAGUACUAAUAGACCGAGGGCUUGACCUC